rnacentral:misc_RNA from 1 species
AAGUCGUAACAAGGUAACCGUAGUGAACCUGCGGUUGGAUCAUUAAAAAAAAUUGAAGCUUCAACACUUUCAAGGGUAGAAGCGUCAGUGCUCCUUUAACAAGGAGCUUGACUACUCCAAUUUUGUGAACUUGCAACCAAAAAAUGUUUUGAUAGUGGUGAAAGAUUUGGGCCUUACCAGCCCAAGUUUUUCCCUUCUUGAAAAAAUUGUUAACCUGAAGAAAUAACUUGUGUUUACCGUUUUUUUUAUAAAUAAAAAUUAAUAAACAACUUUUGACAGGAUCUCUAGGCUCUC